AUGGGUCAGCGACUUAUAUUCUGUAGCAAGGUUAACCGUAUAGGGGAGCCGAAGGGAAACCGAGUCUUAACUGGGCGUUAAGUUGCAGGGUAUAGACCCGAAACCCGGUGAUCUAGCCAUGGGCAGGUUGAAGGUUGGGUAACACUAACUGGAGGACCGAACCGACUAAUGUUGAAAAAUUAGCGGAUGACUUGUGGCUGGGGGUGAAAGGCCAAUCAAACCGGGAGAUAGCUGGUUCUCCCCGAAAGCUAUUUAGGUAGCGCCUCGUGAACUCAUCUUCGGGGGUAGAGCACUGUUUCGGCUAGGGGGGCAUCCCGACUUACCAACCCGAUGCAAACUGCGAAUACCGAAGAAUGUUAUCACGGGAGACACACGGCGGGUGCUAACGUCCGUCGUGAAGAGGGAAACAACCCAGACCGCCAGCUAAGGUCCCAAAGUCACAGUUAAGUGGGAAACGAUGUGGGAAGGCUCAGACAGCCAGGAUGUUGGCUUAGAAGCAGCCAUCAUUUAAAGAAAGCGUAAUAGCUCACUGGUCGAGUCGGCCUGCGCGGAAGAUGUAACGGGGCUAAACUGUGCACCGAAGCUGCGGCAGCGACGCUUAUGCGUUGUUGGGUAGGGGAGCGUUCUGUAAGCCUGCGAAGGUGUCCUGUGAGGGAUGCUGGAGGUAUCAGAAGUGCGAAUGCUGACAUAAGUAACGAUAAUGCGGGUGAAAAGCCCGCUCGCCGGAAGACCAAGGGUUCCUGUCCAACGUUAAUCGGGGCAGGGUGAGUCGACCCCUAAGGCGAGGCCGAAAGGCGUAGUCGAUGGGAAACGGGUUAAUAUUCCCGUACUUGGUGUUACUGCGAAGGGGGGACGGAGAAGGCUAUGUUGGCCGGGCGACGGUUGUCCCGGUUUAAGCGUGUAGGCUGGUUUUCCAGGCAAAUCCGGAAAAUCAAG
rnacentral:rRNA from 1 species